CCUACGGGGGGCUGCAGUCGAGAAUCUUCCGCAAUGCACGAAAGUGUGACGGAGCGACGCCGCGUGAUUGAUGAAGCCCUUCGGGGUGUAAAGGUCUUUUAUGCGUGAAGAAAUUAUUGACAUUAGCGCAUGAAUAAGGGGCUCCUAACUCUGUGCCAGCAGGAGCGGUAAUACAGAGGCCCCGAGCGUUAUCCGGAAUUAUUGGGCGUAAAGGGUGCGUAGGUGGUUGUGUUAGUCGAAUUUCAAAGAUCUGGGCUUAACCCAGGGAAGGGAUU
rnacentral:rRNA from 1 species